CAACUCAGGAACUAGGAAGUAAAUAUUGCCUCGGGUCUAUUGACAACAAUGGACUUUGUUUGCACUUGAUAGUAAUCUAACAUAAGGGCCAGGGACAAAGCCUUCAGAGCGGGGGAUGAGGCUGGCUUGAGGGCUUCGACGCUCAGAACAGCACUUGCCCGCUGAAGGCCCCUCCUCCUCCACAAGAGCAGCCCCUGUGCCUCUCUGCUGAUAGCGUGAGGAGGGCGCUUGCCGCUAUCAACACUCGUAAGGCGGCGGGCCCUGACAACAUCCCGGGUCGAGCGCUGAAGGACUGCGCUGGGGAGCUGACGGAUGUCUUCACGGACAUCUUCAACAUUUCCCUGCAGCAAGCCGUCGUCCCUUCGUGUUUCAAGGCUGCCACCAUCGUACCUGUGCCGAAGAAACCUGCCCCGUCCUGCUUCAAUGACUACCGCCCCGUGGCACUGACGGCCAUCAUCAUGAAGUGCUUUGCCACCAUAGACCCCUUCCAGUUUGCGUACCGAGCCAAACGGUCCUCUGAGGAUGCCAUCUGCUCUGCCCUCCGCUCGGCCCUCACCCACCUGGAGAAUAGGGACUCGUAUGUGAGAUUGCUGUUUGUGGACUUCAGUUCUGCCUUCAACACCAUUGUGCCACAACGACUCAUCUGCAAACUCGCCAAGCUGGGCCUCAGUACCUACCUCUGCAACUGGCUACUAGACUUCCUCAGUCAGAGACCUCAGAUGGUACGGGUUGGCGACAAGAUCUCCGCCAGCAUCACGCUGAGCACGGGGGCCCCCCAAGGCUGCAUGCUCAGUCCGCUGCUCUUCACCCUGCUGACGCAUGACUGCGCUGCGAGCUACAGCACCAACCCCAUGGUGAAAUUUGCUGACGACACGACUCUGGUGGGUCUCAUCACCAAGAGACUCAGUACAGGUUGGAGGUUGACCUUCUGACCACGUGGUGCAAGGUCAACAACCUCCUGCUGAACGUCAACAAGACCAAGGAGAUUGUUGUUGACUUCCGGAAGGGUCACACCCAACACCUGCCGCUGACCAUCGACGGUGCUGUGGUUGAGAGAGUGAGCCGCACCAGGUUCCUGGGGGUGCACAUCAGUGAGGAUCUCUCCUGGUCCUCCAACACCGCAUCACUGGCGAAGAAGGCCCAGCGCCGCCUGUACUUCCUGCGGAAACUCAGGAGCAGUACACAAGUCCCAGGAUUCCGACUGAGGCUGGAGGAAGUGACAUCCAGUCAAUCUCAAAGAGAUGCUCAACCUUGGACGACACUACAGAUAUUUUCGAGGUCUAAUCUAAUCUAACCUACCCUGAGGGGUCAAUCGUAAUCUUGCAAGAUCAAAGAUUGAGCUGGACACCCUUGCACUGUAGUUACACAUCACAAAAUCAACAUUCUGUUGAUUCCUGUCUAUUCCAGGCUAGAUCUGACCUUGACUCAUACAUGCUGUGUCCAUGUUACAGGAUUGGAUCAGGGGAUGCUUUGAGAAUAAUUGUCAAUUUUUGUCUAUGGGAAGCCCUUUGAGACUGCUUGUGAUUUAGGGCUAUACAAAUAAACUUGACUUGACUUGA